GAGUCUCGUCUAGGAGCUUUGUCUACAAGCUCCUUCUGCCUUGCCUUAGAUGGCCUAAUCUAAUCAAUACAGAUACCAAAACGUCCUAAAGAUGCCUUAAAGUGAAGCCUUCGUGUCAAGGAACAUCACCGUUGGAAAUGGUCACCGAACGUGAGAUGGAGAUUAGGAGUCACCUUGUUUUGAGAGCUCUGUGGAUUUCCGGGUAGCCUGUUUCAGAGACCCUGAUUUGGGAGAUCAUAUGUCUUGCAAAACCAAGGCGUGCAUUGUUGCAACUCAGUUUGGGGUCACCUCCAAGUGUUCCUGGACCUUCUAGACUUCUGCCUUAGACUGAAGCACUUAGUGACCUCAGUCUCAGCUGGCGCUCAGUGUUCAAAGGUUAGCGUCGAGGUGCGCUGAGGAGACCCAAAGGGGGCGGAACCACCCUGCAUAGCAUUAGACUUUUAACUCUGCUCCCGCCCUCGGUCCCCUGUAUCAGAUUGGUUGGAAGGAGAGCGUGGGUUAAGGGGGCAUGGACCUGCCUUCCCCUUUCUGGUUCAGGAGCCAAACUUCAUCUUGGAGUCAGAACAAAGCCAUGGCCGGAUCACACUAAGGAGCUCCAGCCUGUUUUGGGACAGAGCCAGGACCCAGAAACCAUUGCCAUGAGCCACCAGCUGGCUGCGGUCCCGGAAAACUUGUGCAGCUGCCGCACAGGCCAGACUGGGCCUGCACACUGUCACAGUGCCAGGCCCUCCAUUAAGGCCCCCGUCUCCGCUCACACCCAACUUGCCCCGCGUACUUUGGCAUCCUCCUGCCUUGAGGUGUGCCCUGGGAUUACAGGGGAGACUUCAGAACCACCGAGUGACCUGCCUCCUCUUAUCUUUCUGGGAAUUACACAGUUGUUCUGGAACCCCUUGGAGAGGUCAAGGUAGAUGGCUCCAGUCGCUGGUCUGAUGAAAAUGGAGGAUUGAAUCAUUUCCCUUAACUCUGUGUGGUCUAAUUUAAGUGCCUGUCAUUAGUACUUCUAAGGAGAACACAGGCUUUGGUGAUGGCAGAAAUGGAGCGGGCAGACUCGUAGCAAGAUGCAUCCCGGAAGACGUAUGACUCCUCCGGAUACUGAGAUGGGACAGUGCAGGGCGUGUUUGGAGCACAGAGGGUCCUCUGGAACAGCUGGGGUGCACAGGAUAACAUAGGGAGUGACAGGAGCUAGAUUGAGGGGUCACAUCAGACGAGAUGGUGAUUGUUCUGGAAAACGAACCCCCUGGAUUCCAUCCUAGAGGCAAAGCCGAGACACGUGGAGAAUCUUAAGCAACCGACAAGGUCAAGGGAUUUAAGUUAGUGUGUACGGCAAACGAAAGGUCUGCAGAAGUCUGGAGUUCACUCCGGAUGGAUGAACAAGCCUAUUGUCCUAUUGUCCAGUUGAACCUCCUACAGGACUGGCAGGUUUUCUCCACCCCAACCAGAUAAACCCCAAUUCUCCUCAAGCCCCCAAAUUCAAAUCUUGAGAGCUGGAAAUCUUCCUUUCCCAGACAACUCCUCCAAAACAAUUAACACUUGGCUCAGACUGUCUGGUACCCUAAUGUCUGUCUAGAGUCAGCAGCGAUAAACUGUUUCUCACACUCUCCCCAGAAGGAGUGUGAAGAAAGGCCAAACCCUACCCCUGGAACACAGUUCGCCAUAUUCCAGUAGAGACCUUGCCUCAGAUUAUGGAACAAGCUAGAUUAUAGAAGACUUCUUGUCUAGUGACAUUUGUUUCCUAAACUUCUACAAUAAAGCCUGUUUUCAAACCU
ensembl:lincRNA Gm26576 predicted gene, 26576